UACGGAGGGUGCGAGCGUUGUCCGGAUUUAUUGGGUUUAAAGGGUGCGUAGGUGGCUUUUAAGUUCAGUGGUGAAAUACAGCCGCUCAACGGUUGAGGUGCCAUUGAUACUGAAGAGCUUGAAACAAGUGGAGGCUGCCGGAAUGGAUGGUGUAGCGGUGAAAUGCAUAGAUAUCAUCCAGAACACCGAUUGCGAAGGCAGGUGGCUACGUUUGAUUUGACACUGAGGCACGAAAGCAUGGGGAGCAAACAGG
rnacentral:rRNA from 1 species